UAUACCUGGGCUGAAAAUAUAGAGUUGCUAAGCAUUACGGACACAAACAUACAAGGUCUACAAAAACUGCGGGGACGUAAUAUAUUGGCAGCAUUUAGUUGAAGGCUUAAAGUUACUGUGUAGUUAAAUCAAAUUAGCUGCCGGUUACAUUGAUAUUACUUAUAACAAGUACCCAAUAAGCUUGACACUCAAUACGCAAAUCACAUAAAUAUGUUGCGUUAAAAUAUCUAUGUAUUUAUAAGUGAGAGAUGAUUUUUUUAUAAGCUCUCUAAGUUACACGGCCAUGAAUAAUACAAGACUCAUCAUAAUGUAGGUGUAUAGUAUAAGAGAUGAUAAAAAUCAUAGUUCUUAAAUCUAUAAGAGAUUUAAUACAUUGGUGCUGAAAUUAUAAUGGUUCUCAAGUCAAAUGCAGUAAAAUAUGCCAGUGUCCAAAUUUAAAAGACUAAAAAAACCUCUAUCUCAAAUAGUCAUUGAAUUCUAAAUACAUCUGAAAUAAAUAUCAAAGAAAUUUAACGUUAUAGGGAACAUGUAACUACUGACAUUUAUUGACACAGCACUUAACUACCAUUGUUGAUAAUUUAAUGGUAACCGUAAUUAUAAAGCUGCUAAGCAUUACGGACACAAACAUACAAGGUCUACAAAAACUGCGGGGACGUAAUAUAUUGGCAGCAUUUAGUUGAAGGCUUAAAGCUACUGUGGAGUUAAAUCGAACUAGCUGCCAAUUGCAUUGAUAUUACUUAUGACAAGUACAUAAUUAGCUUGACACUUAAUACAUAAGUCACUUAAAUAUGUUGCGUUAUAAUAUCUAUGUAUUUAUAAGUGAGAGAUGAUUUUAUAUAAGCUUUCUAAGUUACACGGUCAUGAAUAAUACAAGACUCAUCAUAAUGUAGGUGUAUAGUAUAAGAGAUGAUAAAAAUCAUAGGUCUUAAAUCUAUAAGAGAUUUAAUACGUUGGUGCUGAAAUUAUAGUGGUUCUAAAGUCAAAUGCAUUGAAAUAUGGCAAUGUCUAAAUUUGAAAGACUAAAAAAACCUCUAUCUCAAACAAUCAUUGGAAUCAAAUACAUGCGCCAUAAAUAUCAACCGCUUCGUAGCUCUAUAGGGAACAAACAGCAACUGACGUUCAGUAGCACUGUAGAUAACUAGCUUUUAGGACAAUUCGAUGGCACCCAUUAUUGAACGUCAAUUAUAAAAGGAUUAAAUAUAAAUUAUGUCUAUUCAUGUUCCAAGAUAAAAGUUCCUUUUAAACUAAACGAUCUUUCAUUCCAGGAUAACUAUUUAUGAAGCUACAAGCAGCUAUUAAAUGAUGAAAUUAGAGUUGAUUCGGCUAUAUUAUUUAUUUAAAGAAAUUUUCCAUAAUAUUGGAUAAGUAUAUUUUUUAAAUUAAAAAAAAAAUAUCAUUAAUUUAAAUUUCUUUUUAUUCCUAUUGUAGAUUACAUUAAAAAUUGUACCAGAAAAAUAAAUUACAAGGAUACAAAAAAAAAAGUUAACUCAAUUUAACUCGUAUUCACUGUAGAAGAUUAAUCGCACCUUUGUCACAUACGCAUCGAUGAUUCCAUAAUAUCGUAGAGUUUUCAUCAUCAGUACUUAUUUAUGGAAUAAUUAUUCAUUCACACCAGUAUUAUAAAUGCGUUAAUAAAAUUGCAAUUGUUUAAUAUAAUUGAUAAAUUUUACAUCUUUGAAAAUAAUGUUUUUGAGCUACAUUAAUUUUUCAUUCCAAAAGAAAAUAUAAUUAUGUCAAACCCCUUACAUAUAGCAUGAACGCUAUUAUUGCUUAUUAAAUAAUUAUAGCCUGCUAUAGUAUUUGAUUUUGUAUAAUUAAGUUUUAUAAAAAUAUUUAGAAAGGAUAAAUGUAACGAAUAGUUUACAAUUGAAAUUUGUAAAAUUAAAUUAUUGCGUUUCAUUUUAUUAUCAUAAAUUUUUUUUACUAAGUUAAAGUCUUAUGAAUAAAUAAAUUUAUACCAAGACAUAGAAUAAUAAAGUAAUCCGUAUAUUAGGUAAUUUAGUUUGUAGUAUUGUCGGAAUUCCUAUUAAAUCAUUCAAUUCUGUCCAUUUAUUCUGAAUUGUCCGAGUAUAAGUUAUAAAAUGUCCAAUACCGUUCGGUAGAUUCGAUGAUCGGAAUUCAAUCACUCCAGUCAGAAAAUAUUUUUUAUCCUGAAUAUUUAGAUUUAUUGGAAUUUCCUUUAAAUUAGUACUUAAUAAUGCUCGUUCAUCUUUUCUUGAUGAAAGCGUUUUUUCAUAAAAAUGAUACACAUUCAAACAUAGAUAUGUAUCGAUAUUCAUUGUUCGACCGGUUACGUUCUCUUUACAUUUUUUACAAUAAAAUGUUUCUUUUUUAAUAUCAUUCAAAAUACUUUGUUCCAAGAGGUGAAAUCCAUUAUUCCAUAUUAAUUUUGCGUUAACAUUAAAUACUGAUAUUUUUUUUGUUGCAGAAGAUUUACAUUUAGUGCAAUAUGUUUGUUCAGAGAUAGAUUCAUAAUGUAUUAGCAAAUUUUCAAUCAGUGUACUGACAUCGUCUACACAGUCAAUAGUAUAAUCUUUUUCAGGGUACAUUUUCCGUAAGAAAUGAAGUCUUUUACUGUAGAAUUCCGCGGUGGCACCAUGUUCAGCAUAAAAUUUAUGCAAAAGAUAAAAGUUCAGUGAUACUAUCGAAUGGG